rnacentral:rRNA from 1 species
UACGAAGGGGGCUAGCGUUGUUCGGAUUUACUGGGCGUAAAGCGCGCGUAGGCGGAUCGCUAAGUCAGGGGUGAAAUCCCAGGGCUCAACCCUGGAACUGCCUUUGAUACUGACGAUCUGGAGAUCGGGAGAGGUUGGUGGAAUUCCGAGUGUAGAGGUGAAAUUCGUAGAUAUUCGGAGGAACACCAGAAGCGAAGGCGGCCAACUGGCCCGAUACUGACGCUGAGGCGCGAAAGCCAGGGGAGCGAACGGG